rnacentral:rRNA from 1 species
GACGAACGCUGGCGGCGUGCUUAACACAUGCAAGUCGAACGGAAAGGCCCUGCUUUUGUGGGGUGCUCGAGUGGCGAACGGGUGAGUAACACGUGAGUAACCUGCCCUUGACUUUGGGAUAACUUCAGGAAACUGGGGCUAAUACCGGAUAGGAGCUCCUGCUGCAUGGUGGGGGUUGGAAAGUUUCGGCGGUUGGGGAUGGACUCGCGGCUUAUCAGCUUGUUGGUGGGGUAGUGGCUUACCAAGGCUUUGACGGGUAGCCGGCCUGAGAGGGUGACCGGCCAAAUGGGGAAUGAGGUACGGCCCAGACCCCUACGGGAGGCAGCAGGGGGGAAUAUUGCACAAGGGGCGGAAGCCUGAUGCAGCAACGCCGCGGGCGGGAUGACGGCCUUCGGGUUGUAAACCGCUUUCGCCUGGGACGAAGCGUGGGUGACGGUAAUGGGUAAAGAAGCACCGGCUAACUACGU